rnacentral:rRNA from 8 species
AGAUUAAACUGAAGAGUUUGAUCCUGGCUCAGAUUGAACGCUGGCGGCAUGCCUUACACAUGCAAGUCGAACGGCAGCGCGGGGCAACCUGGCGGCGAGUGGCGAACGGGUGAGUA